CUUGGGCAGGGGUUGGUGGUGAGGCGUCGACUGGGAAGGGAACUCUCCGAGGGGUGGAGACAGCCUCAUUCUGACCUGAGCACUGGCUACGUGGGCGUGUACACAAAUGAAACUCCAUCGAGACGUAAACUGAAGGUAUGUGCAUUUCACUGCAUGUUAAUUAUGCCUCGACACUCAAAAACUCUCUGGGGAGAGUCCUCAGACCCUGCGGUUUGACCUCACUCUCACAGAGAAGACCAGAGCCCCGAGAGUUAACUUGGCCUCAGAAGCUGAGGUGAACUGCCCUGGCGGGUGACCUCCACGGGCGCCCCAACGUGAGACCCAUUAACAGAAGCUCAGCUCCGCUUUAAGGAGCAGGGAAGGGGGUUCUUGGAAUCCCCGGUACCUGGGAUUGCUGACUCCAGAAAAAGAUCUACUGCCACCUUCUACUCCUGCCAACAGGAUCCAAAACGUGAGAUCAGAUAAAUGAUGCAAUUCCUGGGGAAGGACCUAGAAGAAGAGGUUUUAGACAAAAUUGUCUACCACACUUCAUUUGAUGUCAUGAAAAACAGCUACAUACGUGACAUGAAAAUGAACCAUGAGCUUUCUCCGUUCAGGAGAAAAGGAGUCAUGGGAGUUCACUGAAGCUCAGAACCAGAAGUUUAAUGAAGACUAUGCGAGAAACAUGGCCGACACCUCCCUGCCGUUCUGCGUGGGGCUCUGCAGCCCGGAGCGAACGUGUCCUCUUGGCCGCCUCCCUGAAGCGGAGGGGAAACCUGUUUCCAGCGACCACCACGGCGUGGGUGCCUUGACGUGAGGGCUUUUGAACAAUGCCUGGGCGUCCCUCAGCCCUGAAUUCCUGACCUGCCUUUUGGAUGAGCCCCAGUGUCACUUUCCAGCCUCAACACUCCUCCUGCUGCCCCUCCGCAGAUUCGCAGUGUUAGGUGAAUUUCGGCAUAGCAGCAUGUAGUGUAUGACACAGUGCACGGCCGGUCAUUUCCUUUCCUCCUGUAAUCCACUAUCGUGCUAUAAUGUUCCUUGAAUUAAAACAUUGCUCUCAAAGUUA